GGGUUGUGAGGUUAAGCGACUAAGCGUACACGGUGGAUGCCCUGGCAGUCAGAGGCGAUGAAGGACGUGCUAAUCUGCGAUAAGCGUCGGUAAGGUGAUAUGAACCGUUAUAACCGGCGAUUUCCGAAUGGGGAAACCCAGUGUGAUUCGUCACACUAUCAUUAACUGAAUCCAUAGGUUAAUGAGGCGAACCGGGGGAACUGAAACAUCUAAGUACCCCGAGGAAAAGAAAUCAACCGAGAUUCCCCCAGUAGCGGCGAGCGAACGGGGAGCAGCCCAGAGCCUGAAUCAGUGUGUGUGUUAGUGGAAGCGUCUGGAAAGGCGUGCGAUACAGGGUGACAGCCCCGUACACAAAAAUGCACAUACUGUGAGCUCGAUGAGUAGGGCGGGACACGUGGUAUCCUGUCUGAAUAUGGGGGGACCAUCCUCCAAGGCUAAAUACUCCUGACUGACCGAUAGUGAACCAGUACCGUGAGGGAAAGGCGAAAAGAACCCCGGCGAGGGGAGUGAAAAAGAACCUGAAACCGUGUACGUACAAGCAGUGGGAGCACGCUUAGGCGUGUGACUGCGUACCUUUUGUAUAAUGGGUCAGCGACUUAUAUUCUGUAGCAAGGUUAACCGAAUAGGGGAGCCGAAGGGAAACCGAGUCUUAACUGGGCGUUAAGUUGCAGGGUAUAGACCCGAAACCCGGUGAUCUAGCCAUGGGCAGGUUGAAGGUUGGGUAACACUAACUGGAGGACCGAACCGACUAAUGUUGAAAAAUUAGCGGAUGACUUGUGGCUGGGGGUGAAAGGCCAAUCAAACCGGGAGAUAGCUGGUUCUCCCCGAAAGCUAUUUAGGUAGCGCCUCGUGAAUUCAUCUCCGGGGGUAGAGCACUGUUUCGGCAAGGGGGUCAUCCCGACUUACCAACCCGAUGCAAACUGCGAAUACCGGAGAAUGUUAUCACGGGAGACACACGGCGGGUGCUAACGUCCGUCGUGAAGAGGGAAACAACCCAGACCGCCAGCUAAGGUCCCAAAGUCAUGGUUAAGUGGGAAACGAUGUGGGAAGGCCCAGACAGCCAGGAUGUUGGCUUAGAAGCAGCCAUCAUUUAAAGAAAGCGUAAUAGCUCACUGGUCGAGUCGGCCUGCGCGGAAGAUGUAACGGGGCUAAACCAUGCACCGAAGCUGCGGCAGCGACGCUUAUGCGUUGUUGGGUAGGGGAGCGUUCUGUAAGCCUGUGAAGGUGUGCUGUGAGGUAUGCUGGAGGUAUCAGAAGUGCGAAUGCUGACAUAAGUAACGAUAAAGCGGGUGAAAAGCCCGCUCGCCGGAAGACCAAGGGUUCCUGUCCAACGUUAAUCGGGGCAGGGUGAGUCGACCCCUAAGGCGAGGCCGAAAGGCGUAGUCGAUGGGAAACAGGUUAAUAUUCCUGUACUUGGUGUUACUGCGAAGGGGGGACGGAGAAGGCUAUGUUGGCCGGGCGACGGUUGUCCCGGUUUAAGCGUGUAGGCUGGUUUUCCAGGCAAAUCCGGAAAAUCAAGGCCGAGGCGUGAUGACGAGGCACUACGGUGCUGAAGCAACAAAUGCCCUGCUUCCAGGAAAAGCCUCUAAGCAUCAGGUA
rnacentral:rRNA from 1 species